GUAUCAAAAGGUAAUAUAUAUCUGAAAAUUAGUUUAUAUAAAUAAAAAAAUUAGUAAAGUUUGCAAUUACAAAAAGCCCAAGAUCCAAUUUCGGAGUUAACGUGAAGAGUUAUUUUCUGUUUCGCAGCAUUUUGUUAUAUGAAAGCGGAUCAAGGAGGAGUGUGUAAAUAUUAUUUGCUUCGCUUCUAUUACGACUACUCGACGAGGAUGUGCUUCGAAUUCUUGUUUCAUGGCUGCUUCGGCAAUUUGAAUAAUUUUGGCACCCGGGAAGCUUGUUUGGAGACAUGUCGUACUGGACUAUAUUUAGAAUGAAACAUAAUUGUGAACUUGUUACAUGUAUUUAUUUAGUACAUUAAAACCUAUUGUUUUAUAUGAAUAA